rnacentral:rRNA from 2 species
AUUUGUCUUCCUACCAGCACUAAUGCAUCGGCUCUCAUGAGAACUCCGCAGUUAAGCAUGCUUUGGAUAUAGUAGUUCUAGGAUGGGUGACCUACUCUGAAGUCCUCGUGUUGCACCUC